CAGCUUGUUCUAACUUCAUGGCAGCCAAAACCAACAUUGACUGAGAAGCUGCAAACAAUAUUCGAGGAAAUACAAGAGGAUGACAUGGAGAAGAUGUUACAAUCCACUGUGGAUGGUGAUCAGAGGAGUACAGACAUGCAAAUCAUGUUGGGGCCCACUGAGAUUGACCAUGAAGAGGUGCUGGAUGACAGUCUCAUGUCCCUAAAACAGCACGACAACCUCAGGAAAUCAGAAGUGGCUAUUGAUGCCAUCCAAGCUCCCCAUUACAUGAAAAGAAAGGACAAACAGAAACAUACAGUCCAUACCAAAAAGCUGAAGAAGUCUGCUGGGAACAAAACAAAUCAGAAGGGUCAAAAAAUCAGAACAAAAGAGAGCAAGAAUUUGAACCCUAUGAAGGCAAAGCCAAAGAAUGUGGCAGAAAAUCAGAAAGUUUCACAGGAAAAAGGGAAAGAAAAACAUGGAGGUCAUGCAAAAAAGAAAAAGCACCAUUCUAAAAAACAACUGCUUCCUGAAACAAUAUGCACUCAUGGUGAACGAAGGAAACUCAAAUUCACACCAGAAUUUCUAGGAAUGCUCAGACUUGUCUUUCAAAUUGAUAUCCAGAAAAAAUGCAUCAGGAAGAAGAAAAUACAACACAUUCUAAGGAGAAACCCAGAAUUCUUACGGAUAUGUAAGAAAAUGGAACUAUCCAUUGAAAAUGUUCGUAACCGAAUUCGCCUGAUGAUUAAAAAAGAAUAAUGUUUCUAUUCGUCAACAGUACUUCAUUA